GGGGGAGCCGGGGGCUGGCGCCGGGCCGGGCCGCGCAGGCGUAUCUUUCAGAAUAAACACGGGAAACUUCUCGUUGGAAGUGCAGGUGGAAGGCAGGCCCGGCUGGCUCCUGGCAUGUCACGAGCGGUGGAAUCUCUCCCUGGGGACUCUGAUCUGUAGGCAGCUGGGAUACCUCCAGUGAUGACAUUUGCUGUUGCUUCUGCAGACUCGCCCACCACAAAGGAGUGAACUGACAGAUGUCAAGGUGAACGAUACGCAAGAGUUUGUUCAGAUUGUACCCAACCAGAAGAGCAGCAUUGAAGACGUGUGGCAGGUCAGGAGCAGCUGUGCUUCAGGGCGAAUUGUGGCUCUGAAGUGCUCCGAGUGCGGCCUGCGCUCCAGGACAGCCCGGAUAGUGGGGGGAAGCGACGCCCCGUUGGGACGCUGGCCGUGGCAGGUCAGCCUGUACCUCAACUCCAGACACGUGUGCGGAGGCUCCGUGGUGGCGCACGACUGGAUCGUCACGGCCGCUCACUGUGUGCACAAUUACAGGCGGCCACAGGUCUCCAGCUGGCUGGUCUUUGCAGGGAUUAUCGCCCACGUGUCAGUCCCACAGCAGGCCCGUGCGGUGGUGGAGAAAAUCAUCCACCACCCCCACUAUGACGACAGGAGUCACGACUAUGACAUCGCACUGAUGAAACUCAGAGCGCCCUUGAACUUCUCCGCUGUGUUGCUUCACCUCCCAGAGAGAAGUCAGUCUGAAGAAGGGGGAAUGUUAGCUAUAUUUCUACCUUUACCAUAAGGGUGCAGGGCCUAUUCUCCCUUUCAGUAAGUUCUGCAGAGAGGAUCAGGCCAGUGCUGGCAGUUCACAUGGGCCUUGGCUCUAAGAUGUCAUAGUUUUGGAUUACUGUGGUACAGGCCUCUUGCAGCUGGCCCUCCUGAAUCCUAGCUGAGCCAACUUCAGGCAUCUUUCUCUGCAGCUGUGUUAAUAAGCAUGGGGCAGCAGCCCUUUGAGUUUAGAGGCUAGCAGUGUGGUUUCCUUAGAUGGUGGUUGCUUUGUGGAAGCAGAAAGGAGAGAGCACAGUACAGGCUUUGCCACUUACACGAAAAAUCCAGAAGGUGGGUACACAUUCAUUUAUACUGCACCCAAACAGGGUGUUUGGUUGUUGCCACAGGAAAGGGACACACCACAGUGUUUCUGCUCUGAAGAGCAGGUACUUAAUUUUAGCUACACCAGAGCUGGUGGGAGAGGGAGAACAGCUAGUGGUUAUCCUAGGAGAUCACUUUGGUAAAGGGCUCUGCAGCUGUUUAGAUAAUUGCAGUAGAGCUGAUUUCUACUAGCACCCUGAGGCUUCCAACUCCUGCAGCCUCAUCUGAAUCUUUGGGAAAGCCCAUUUACUGGAGCCAGCAGCCACCUAUCUUCCUGAUGGCCUUGCAGGGUAGAAGGCCCAUGCUCUUUGCUCAAUCUAUUACUACUUGACAAGUCUCCCCCACCCCUUCUCUGGGGUCCUAUCAGCCCAUGGCUCAGUUCUCUGCUCUCCCUAUGAGAGGCUGAGGUCAACCAGCAUGUACAGGUUACCUGCAAAGAAUCCUCCAUCCUUCACUUUUAGAGUAUACAAAUAGUCUCAAAGGCUUAGCUGUACAGUAGCAAUACUCAGGUCCCAGUGGUUCAGGAGCCAAAUUAGCAAUCAUUACCCCAAAAAAGCCCCAGUGGUGUGAAUUUGUUUCAUUUACUAUAGCUUCAUAUUUAAACAGUAUGGGACAGGAAAAUCUUUAGUUGUUCUAUGUUUACAGCCCCAUCAAUGGCUUUGUGCAAAUGAAUAUAGUAAGAGCAUUGAGUGGUCAAUUAAAUCAGUGUUUUAAUUGGUGCUGCAAAGAGCUACUUGCAGCUUCCAAGCUGUGAUCAAACUACACCUGCUCUACCAGGUGAGGUCUCAGCACCUGGUUUCCCUGAGCCUUGCUGGAGAACCAGGGGGAUAGUGUUCUUAGGGAGGGUUGGCCAAGCAACUGAGGGAUUUUAAAUCCAAUGCCAAAACCUCCAACUCAGAACCUCAUAAGCAAUGGGAGAACCCCCACUACAGCAGGUUCUGUCAGGGACUUUAGCCCCCACAACAAAGUUUGUUGUUUGACUGCAAAGAGACAGGCACCACCAGCAAGGUCCUAUCAAAAGCUCUUUAUUGACAAGUGUACUCAUCAAUAGAGAGCAGCUUGUCUUUAAAGAGAACUAGCCCCCCCUUUACAUUUUAGUAUCAGCUUAUAUAGUUUUAUUACAUCAUAAUAUAUUCAUUUGAGCAACCCAUUCCCUUUUUUUAAACUAGAAACUAGACACCUUUAAUAUACACACAUGCCUAGUUUCCUAUGUUUACAGUAUUAGAUUAAUAUUUUAACAAGCACCAAAAGUUAGGAAUGUAGGGGAGUUAAAAUCAAACUGAAAACUAAAUCAGGGAAUGAGUAAGAACAUUGGGAAGCUGGGGUUUUUUAUUAGUUUUUAAACACUUUUUAACACAGCACAGCUGGUACUCUGCCAGGAAUGCAGCCCCUCACUUAUUUUAAUUUUUCAGUGCUUUGUGAGACAUGCUGUUUUUGGUAUUUUUUUACUUGGUGAUUACCCAGAAUCCCUUGUUAGCCUGACUUCGGUCAGGUUGGCAUAACUGGUUUUGUGCUACAUUUCUGUUUAGGCCUAACAAUUCCAAGUUUUGCUACAAGCUUCUCUCCCACCCCCCUUCCCAAAAGAAAAAUCCAACACACUUG